AUUGAACGCUGGCGGCAGGCCUAACACAUGCAAGUCGAGCGGGGUUUUCGGACCUAGCGGCGGACGGGUGAGGAAUACGUAGGAAUUUGCCCUUAAGUGGGGGAUAACCCGGGGAAACCCGGACUAAUACCGCAUGAUCUCGUGAGAGCAAAGCAGGGGACCGCAAGGCCUUGCGCUUUUGGAGAAGCCUACGUCGGAUUAGCUAGUUGGUGGGGUAAUGGCCCACCAAGGCUACGAUCCGUAACUGGUCUGAGAGGAUGAUCAGUCACACCGGAACUGGGACACGGUCCGGACUCCUACGGGAGGAAGCAGUGGGGAAUAUUGGACAAUGGGCGAAAGCCUGAUCCAGCAAUGCCGCGUGUGUGAAGAAGGCCUUCGGGUUGUAAAGCACUUUAGGCUGGAAAGAAAAAGCUUUGGCUAAUAUCCAAAGCCUUGACGGUACCAGCAGAAUAAGCACCGGCUAACUCUGUGCCAGCAGCCGCCGUAAAAC
rnacentral:rRNA from 1 species